rnacentral:lncRNA from 1 species
UGGGGGUCGUCAAAAGGGGUUUUUAACAAACUUUUUUUUUUUUGCUCUCUUACAAAAACAGAUAUUAUUUUUGAAGGCGGGGCGAUGUAAGUUUCUGGAGGAUUUGCUGGGAAGAAUGAAAUCCUGGCUACUGAACUUUUGGCAACGAACUGAAACAGAAAGGAGUUGAAAAGACAUAGGAAUAGAAAAAACCAUAAGAAUAGAAUUGGUGCAUAGUGGCAAAAUAGAGAAGAGGAAAAACGCGGAAAACAGCAAGGAAGAGGUGUUUAGAACAUAGGAGUUCAUAACAAGGGAAUCAUAAAAUAUAUGAACGAUAAAGGAUCAUUAUUAGUGUCUAACGAUAAUAUGUUAGUUGUAC